ACAAAGCAACGAAACACACACAGCAAGGGGGAGGAGAUGAAACCUAACCCUCACCUUUCCUUCUCACCACCAUAACUCCUCCGUCCGGGCUCCGAUCGCUGCACCGUUCGCGGCCACGCGCUCAGCGCGUCGAGCUCUACCUUUUUAUCCGAAUAAUUUCAUUGGUUCAAGUUAGCUUCCAGAACUUGUGGGCUCAAGCUAUUGAGCAUAUGGGUAUGGUAUAGUUUAAGAGGGUAUUUAUGCUUUGGAUUUGAAUUUGGAUUACUUGGAGCUUUAUUGGUGACAAGGCUUGCUUUGGGGUUGUUUGAUUGAGCUUGGAGGGGGCUGUGAUUUUGUGUUGAGAGGCUGCCUUGGGUGAAUUAAGUGAUUGGCCAAGAUGCAGGUCGAGAGGCUCCUCGUUAGGCGUCUGGAUCCUGGAAAGCGAAGUAGUCCUUGGGUGUAUUUUGGUUUUCUAUUUGUAUAUAUGUAUAUAUGUAUUUAGCUUACUCUCCAAGUAACUUGUGUAUGCUGCUCCUCUUAGAGGUUAAAGGAGAGUUAGGAGUUUACCUUGGUAUUUUGGUGUGUUUUGAGAACACUUAUGUAUGUUUAUAUGUAUAUAUAUACCCUCUGGCCAGCCUUAGCUUCGCAGGCUGAGUCAGGGGCUAGUUAU